rnacentral:rRNA from 1 species
GAUGAACGCUGACAGAAUGCUUAACACAUGCAAGUCAACUUGAAUUUGGGUUUUUAACUUAGGUUUGGGUGGCGGACGGGUGAGUAACGCGUAAAGAACUUGCCUCACAGCUAGGGACAACAUUUGGAAACGAAUGCUAAUACCUAAUAUUAUGAUAAUAGGGCAUCCUAUAAUUAUGAAAGCUAUAAGCGCUGUGAGAGAGCUUUGCGUCCCAUUAGCUAGUUGGAGAGGUAACGGCUCACCAAGGCGAUGAUGGGUAGCCGGCCUGAGAGGGUGAUCGGCCACAAGGGGACUGAGACACGGCCCUUACGCCUACGGGAGGAAACAGUGGGGAAUAUUGGACAAUGGACCGAGAGUCUGAUCCAGCAAUUCUGUGUGCACGAUGAAGUUUUUCGGAAUGUAAAGUGCUUUCAGUUGGGAAGAAACAAAUGACGGUACCAACAGAAGAAGUGACGGCUAAAUACGUG